rnacentral:lncRNA from 1 species
AACAAGAAUGUGUCCUAAGUACACGGAUGCCCCACUCGCACUAUCAUUUUCCUUGUUCAAUGGACCGUGAAAUUGGGUGAAACAUCUAAUUUGGCCUUAAAAUUAGAAAGAUCAUACCAUAUAGGGAACAUGUGUACUAAGUUUCAAGUUGUUUGGUCUUCAACUUCAUCAAAAACUACCUUGACCAAAAACUUUAACCUGAAACUGCCACUUUCAUUUUCUAUGUUCAGUGGAC